rnacentral:lncRNA from 1 species
AUGCCGGUCUAAUAUCUAUAAGGCGAGAAGAGAGAUUUAUUUGCUAGUCCUAGUCCUAGUUCAGUUCCAAUAAAGAUUACAAGACUAGAAUAGGAAACCUCUCCUAAGAAUUAAAAGAACAGAAGAGCUAGUCUUUAAGAAAAAAGAUCUCAUGAAUGACAUGCCACACUUUAACCAUUCAGAAGUCUGAAUUCAUCGAUCCACAGCUGUUUAUGUAGUGUUGAAAGCCGUGAACGGAACGCCUUUGUGCCCCCACGUAAGCGUAAAUCACAUACUGAGGUUCUUGGCCACAUCAACCGAUUGUUGGCUGAUUUGUCAGAGGCCUCUUCUUUGCAGGGUGGAAGAAAGAGAGGCUCGUCUUGAUCUUACUUCAACCUCUGUUUCUCCUGUGACUGCCUGUCUCUAUAUCGGAUUCUGCAUUCGCUUUUCAGUUCCUGUUCUCGGAUGAUGCUUCGUUCCGCCUUACAGUUCUUGUUCUCGGAUGAUGCUUCGUUCAGUAGGGAAUACUAACGGGAAGCAUCUUCUAGACACUAAAUCCUCCAUUACCCUUGUGAGUGCCUGGCAAUUAAAAAUUUAUUUUAGAACGAAAGUUAGCAACCUAAAAGUGACCAAUAAUAACCAGCACUGGCUACAUAGAUUUGAUAGCUACGAGGCCGUGGACAAGUCCUGCAUUCAAAUGAGAUACAACCUCCCCUCGGCACCCAGCUUUAGCUAUUAAAGUCCCAUUUCUAGAGAGCCAGGAAUUAUUUUUGCGCCCUCCAAAAAUAUUUUUGAGAUAUCUGGUAAAUUGAAAAUAUUCUGAUUUCUCAAAAAAGUUGAAAACAUCGAGAAAAUCUCCAUAUUGAAGCUUCUCCCCAAAGCUAAAGCUCUACUUAGCUGCAGCUGUUUUUAGUUUAAUAAAACUAACUAAAACACCCACGUUAACAUAUCAUAUUGUAUUAUACUGCAUCUAACUUUAACCAUUAAAUGUCAGCUACGUGGCUGGCCUCCCUGUACGCAUGAGUAUUUAAAUAGAGAGAUGAUACAUCUGAAACAAGAGAAGUAAACAGUUGGGCUUUUACCCUUUCAUGCUGACCACCUGAUGACUGCAAACGAGUUAUCCUCCACCCAUCACAAUGUUCUG